CACUUCGGUCUGUGGCGGAUGAGUGAGUACACAUGAGAUCUGCCUCCAGGUCAGGGACAACAGCGGGAAACUGCUGCUAAUACCCUAUGUGCCUAAGGGUGAAUGAUUAAUUGCCUGGUGAUCAGCUCGCGUCCGAUCAGCUUGUUGGUAUAGUAAAAGCCUACCGGGCUCCGAUCGGUAGCUGGUCUGAGAUGAUGAGCAGCCACGCUGGUACUAAAACACGGCCCCUACUCCUACAGGAGGCAGCAGUGAGGAAUUUUCCGCGGUGGGCGAAAUCCUGACGGAGCGCGACCGCGUGGGGGAUGAACGCUCUGGUGUUGUAAACUCCUUUUCUCAGGGAAGAAUUACUGACGGUACCUGAAGAAUAAUCAUCGGCUAACUCCGUGCCAGCAGCCGCGAUACGACGGAGGAUGCAAGCGUUAUCCGGUAUUAUUGGGCGUAAAGCGUUCGUAGGUGGCUGUUCUAGUCUGCCGUUAAAGACCGGUCCUUAACUCCUGAACAACUGUGAAAACUGAACAGCUAUAUUAUGGUAGGAGUAAGGAGAAUUCCUGGUGUAGCGAUGAAAUGCGUAGAUAUCGGGAAGAACACCGGUGGCGAAGGCGCCUUACUGGGCCAUAACUGACACUGAACGACGACUGCUAGGGCAGCGAAAGGGAUUAGAUACUCCUGUAGUCCUAGCUGUCAACGAUGGAUACUAGGUGUUGCUCGUAUCGACUCGAGCAGUGCCGUAGCUAACGCGUUAAGUAUCCCGCCUGGGUAGUACGCACGCUAUUGUGAUACUCAGAGGUGUUGACGGGGGCCCGCACAAGCGGUGGAGUAUGUUGUUUUAUUCGAUGCGACGCGAAGAACCUUACGAGGGCUUGACUUGUCCAGAAUCUUGAGGAAACCUAAUACUGCCUUCAGGAGCUGGAACACAUGUGGUGCAUGGCUGUCGUCAGCUCGUGUCAUGAGAUUUUGGGUUAAGUCGCGCAAAGAGCGCAACUCUCGUCCUUAGUCGCUAUCAUUAAGUUGGGCACUUUAGGGAGACUGCGGGAGACAUACCGGAGGAAGGUGGGGAUGAUGUCAUGUUAGUAUGCCCUAUAUGUCCUGGGCUACACAUGUACUACAAUGGGAAGGACAGAGGGUAGCAAGCGCGCGAGUGCAAGCCUAUCCUAUAAACCUUUUCUCAGUUCAGAUCGCAGGGUGCAUCUCGCGUGCGUGAAGGGGGUAUCGCUUGUUAUCGCAUGUCAGCAUAGUGCGGUGAAUGCGUUCCCGGGCCUUGUACACACCGCCUGUCACACCAUGGAAGUUGGACAUGCCAGAUGUCAUUACUCUCAGUGCAAGGAGGGGGAUGCCGAUGCAUU
rnacentral:rRNA from 1 species